ACCUAUUGCGAACGCCCAGAACCGCGGAGGGAACGCCAAGGACUCGGCCGGACUCUAAGAGUUAAGAUGUGGCGGAGGGGGUGGCGGGGGAGGGGCGGGGAGGAGAAAGUGGCGAGGGGGAGGGAGGCUGGGAGGGGGGGACGACAGAUUUCCAGCUUCUACGACGCUCUGCCUAAAUUAAAAAGCAACCAAUCGGAACGGCCGGAAGGGGGGCCGCGCGUCCUGAGCCAGUCAUUUCGGGCCCGCCAAUCACCCAGCGGGUAGCCAAUCAGCGGGGGCCCUGGUGCUCGACUUCCUUGUAUUUGGGAAAGUGUGGUGGUGGGUGCGCGCUCGAGGCGGAGGGUAAACAUUCGACAGUCCCUGCUCUGAGAGGGAGGGACAGAGAGCGAACUGUCAGAUCCGAGCGAGAGCGGGCGGGCGACAGAGAGGGAGGGAGAGGGAAAGUGAGCGAGGGAGAGAGAGCGCGAACGAGGGCGCAGAGCGAGCUCCCGCUGCAACUCCGCUCCGGCACGGCCAGUGCCAGCGCCGUCGGUGCACUCUACGAGCCGUGCAACGUGCCCACUGGAGUUGGUUGUGUAUCAAGGAUCCCCUAUAUGCACACAAACACCUCCACCUCCUCCAAUGCACUCUUCUUCCUCCUCCUCCUCCAGACAACUGCUGGGAAAAAAAUAAAACACCAACCCCAACCGUCAGCAACAAGGAAAGAUGUCGCAUCAGACUGUGACUGUUGCGAGGAGAAUGAAAAAGGACUCUUGUUUCAGAGGCAACCAAGAGCUCCGGCAAUAGCAACUUCAGAGACAUGCACCAUCGCAAGAAGUUUUCCUAGGACAGAACAAAACUUGAAACGCGAGGACCGGAGGGGGAGAGCAGGAGCGAGCCUCUCCUCUCCGCACACGCGAGCAGCCAGCAUCACCACGCCUUCAAGGACGAAAAAGUUUUACUACUCUAAGGGAAAACGAGUGAAAUGUGUUCCUGAGGAGGAGAGAAGAGAGCGGGCAAGGGAAGGAGCGGGCCGGCUGCUGGUCGUCCAGAGUUUGGUUGAGGAAGAAAGGAACGGCUUCUUUCUUUGUUGUCUCCCGUGAAACCUUCACUUAGCAGGUGGACGGAGCCCCGCGCCCGGGCAGCGUCGGCGCUCGCCGGAGGACAGGCGGAGGAGCGGGCGCCGGCGCGCCCCGGCACAGAGCCCCGAGCGCAGGCCCGCGCCCCGCCCGGCGAGCCCUGCUGGAGCAAGCCGACCGCGCCGGGGCUGGGGGGCGGCCACGACCCCCCCUGAAGGGGGUGGCCACGGAGCGCGCCCCGAGGAGCGAGGCCCCCUCCCCAGAGCGCUGCUCCUGCUGCUGCUGCUGCUGCUGCUGCUGCUGCUGACCCAGGCCGGCCGGCGACCCCCGCGCCCUGCCGAGCGGCCUUGCAGCUGCAGCCGGG
rnacentral:lncRNA from 1 species